UGGGGAAUCUUGGACAAUGGGGGCAACCCUGAUCCAGCCAUGCCGCGUGAGCGAUGAAGGCCUUAGGGUUGUAAAGCUCUUUCACCGGUGAAGAUAAUGACGGUAGCCGGAGAAGAAGCCCCGGCUAACUCCGUGCCAGCAGCCGCGGUAAUACGGAGGGUGCCAGCGUUGUCCGGAUUUAUUGGGUUUAAAGGGUACGUAGGCGGAAUGCUAAGUCCGAGGUGAAAGCCCACCGCUCAACGGUGGAGGUGCCUUGGAUACUGGUAAUCUUGAGUGCCGUAGAGGUAGGCGGAAUUCAUGGUGUAGCGGUGAAAUGCAUAGAUACCAUGAGGAACACCGAUAGGGAAGCCAGCUUACUAGACGGUCACUGACGCUGAGGUACGAAAGCGUGGGGAGCGAACAGGAUUAGAUACCCCCGUAGUCC
rnacentral:rRNA from 1 species